rnacentral:rRNA from 1 species
AUGGCUUCGUCGAGGAUGGCCGUGCUGCUGUUCUUGGUUUGCACUCUGGGUGUCGCUAGGAAGAUGGAAGCGGCAAGGAUGAUGCAGAAAGGUGAUGUUGUGGUGGGUAAUGGAGGAGGCGGUGGCGGUGGCGGUAAUGCGCUGCAGCACGGGCUCGUCGACGACGCGCCGUCGAGCCAGGCCGCUGGUGGAGACGACGCCGAUAGGGAGGUGCCAGGCGGGCCGGACCCGAUACACCACCAUGGCAGCGUGCCGCCAACUUCGGUCGCUCCAUAG